rnacentral:rRNA from 1 species
AGAGUUUGAUCCUGGCUCAGAACGAACGCUGGCGGCAGGCUUAACACAUGCAAGUCGAACGCAUCCUUCGGGGUGAGUGGCAGACGGGUGAGUAACGCGUGGGAACGUGCCCUUCAGUUCGGGAUAACCCAGGGAAACUUGGGCUAAUACCGGAUACGUGCGAGAGCAGAAAGAUUUAUCGCUGAAGGAUCGGCCCGCGUCUGAUUAGCUAGUUGGUGGGGUAAUGGCCCACCAAGGCGACGAUCAGUAGCUGGUCUGAGAGGAUGAUCAGCCACAUUGGGACUGAGACACGGCCCAAACUCCUACGGGAGGCAGCAGUGGGGAAUAUUGGACAAUGGGCGCAAGCCUGAUCCAGCCAUGCCGCGUGAGUGAUGAAGGCCUUAGGGCUUGUAAAGCUCUUUCGUCCCGGGACGAUAAUGACGGUACCGGAAGAAGAAGCCCCGGCUAACUACGUGCCAGCAGCCGCGGUA